AACACGACGAGACAUUAUCUCACCGUCACGCCAACGAUACUGCCACUAGAUCGCCGUACGCACCCACCCACCGAGCGUCCUCCUUACCACCACUUGACCAUCACCCACUGCGACACCACCGACUCAUUGCUCUACCCGCUCGCGCUCUCGCCCCUCGUCCUCGUUUCCAUUUUUCUGUCGUCUCCCCGUUCUCCCUUCUUCUUUGCCACACAAACACACACACACACACACACACAGGGAGAACGAUAGUCACACCGAAGGCCGCAGCGCGUAAAUCUAUACAUAUCCGUCUUCUUCGUCAUUGAGUUUAUCAUUUCUCUCCUCCCUUUUUUUUUCGAGCGCGUGCUUGCGACGUGUCUGGUGGUUCUCUUCUCUCCGGCUAUCUUGCCCUUCCCCCAAGACCUCUCCGCCACUCCCCAGCCCAUCAUACCGCCCCUAUCGCCCGUUGCGAAUCCUGUCUCGGACGCGUAGAAGGGCCCCCGACCGAAGAGGAGAAGGCCAAGAACGAAAUAGAGAACGAGGGACAGAAGCAGGCCAGCGUCAGCGGUCGUGGAGUGCAUCGUGCGUCGACGUGUCUGAUUCCUUCCUUCUCUGCCCCGCACGCGCUUGAUGGAGGUUGGCAUCCUCAGCAGCGUCCUCCGGUGUUGUCUUUUGUGAGUCUCUUUCUUGUUCUCUCUGGUCGCUUCUCCCUCCUGUGCACGCCCUGUCGCUGUCGCCGUUGCGCUGGUCGCUUCUCUUUUCUCUCCGUCCUCCGUAGUACCUCCCCCCUCUCUUCGCCCAUCUUCAUUGACCUGACCUCCCUCUCUCAUUCUCUCCACAUCUCCCUUUCCUCACCUCCCUGUCAUCCCGCCCACUCCCCUUCCCCUCAUCCGUUACUCGCCCACAUUGUACGAGCUGUCGGGGGUCCCUCUCCUGCUCCUGCGCCGGAUCUCGCACGGUGAAGGCUGGCACGUGCAUCGCGCUCCUUUUCUUCCUUGGUGUUGUUCUUGCUGUUUGCACUGUGUUGCUGUCUGCAUUCAUUGCUGGCGCGGCUGCGCGCAUCACGCGACGACGCGCACGCACGUACAAGCGGCGGCACAAAAAGAGAACAGCCGAAGGUGGACCAGAACCGUAUCAAAUACGUCAACGCGUUGAGCUUAUUCUCUCCCUCUCCACGCUUUUGCACUGCAACAACGUCGCCGUUUCCACCGCCCGCUCUCCGACAACAAGCCCGCGUUACGUGUCUCUAUCGUUGAGUGCUUCACUGCCGCUGUUGCCAGAUCCUGUCCAACACGCGCUGUUCGUACCUCUUUCGCUUUCUUUUCUUCUUCUAUUGCAUUUUCUCUCGCCGUCUGUGCGCAUCUUGAUCAG
rnacentral:misc_RNA from 1 species